rnacentral:rRNA from 1 species
AGGACGAACGCUGGCGGCGUGCUUAACACAUGCAAGUCGAGCGGAAAGGCCCUUCGGGGUACUCGAGCGGCGAACGGGUGAGUAACACGUGAGCAACCUGCCCUUAGCUCCGGGAUAGCUCCGGGAAACCGGAAUUAAUACCGGAUACGACCACGGCCGACAUCUGCUGUGGUGGAAAGGAUUCCGGCUAAGGAUGGGCUCGCGGCCUAUCAGCUAGUUGGUGGAGUAACGGCCCACCAAGGCGACGACGGGUAGCCGGCCUGAGAGGGCGACCGGCCACACUGGGACUGAGACACGGCCCAGACUCCUACGGGAGGCAGCAGUGGGGAAUAUUGCGCAAUGGGCGAAAGCCUGACGCAGCGACGCCGCGUGGGGGAUGAAGGCCUUCGGGUUGUAAAGCUCUUUCGCCGCGACGAUGAUGACGGUAGCGGGAGAAGAAGCCCGGCUAACUUCGUGCCAGCAGCCGC